UUAUAUAAGAUGGUCAAAACUGAUAUAUUUUAUAUAUCUUCUUUAGUUUCAUCGUGACCGAAAGCUUUGCAUUUUAACAAUCGACAUGAAUAAGUCACUUUUAGUUUUGCUAUUGGUAGGAUGCAUUACCAUUGCAAUAGUACCUGAUGUAGCAGAAGCCCAGUACAGACCGCCAGGUGGACGUUGUAGCUGCCGAAAUAGUUGUUUGUAUGGCGAAUUUCCAAGAGGUCCGUGUGGUUACAGAAGACAGCUUUGUUGUAGAAGUGGUGGAAUGGUUGGUUAACAAGACUGGACGUUUUUUCUCCGGAGUUGACAGUAUUCGGUGAAUGCGAAACGAUAAAUUCAUCUGUGAAUUAUUUGUGAUGUACUGAAUUAAACUUCAAAUGAUUCCAA